rnacentral:rRNA from 1 species
CUAUGCNCUUAUGACCUGGGCUACACACGUGCUACAAUGGCUGGUACAACGAGUCGCAAGCCGGUGACGGCAAGCUAAUCUCUUAAAGCCAGUCUCAGUUCGGAUUGUAGGCUGCAACUCGCCUACAUGAAGUCGGAAUCGCUAGUAAUCGCGGAUCAGCACGCCGCGGUGAAUACGUUCCCGGGCCUUGUACACACCGCCCGUCACACCACGAGAGUUUGUAACACCCGAAGUCGGUGAGGUAACCGUAAGGAGCCAGCCGCCUAAGGUGGGAUAGAUGAUUGGGGUGAAGUCGUAACAAGGUAGCCGUAUCGGAAGGUGCGGUUGGAUCCCCUNUUNNA